UAAGGGCGCACGGUGGAUGCCUUGGCACUAGAAGCCGAUGAAGGACGUUACUAACGACGAUAUGCUUUGGGGAGCUGUAAGUAAGCUUUGAUCCAGAGAUUUCCGAAUGGGGAAACCCAGCAUGAGUUAUGUCAUGUUAUCGAUAUGUGAAUACAUAGCAUAUCAGAAGGCACACCCGGAGAACUGAAACAUCUUAGUACCCGGAGGAAGAGAAAGAAAAUUCGAUUCCCUUAGUAGCGGCGAGCGAAACGGGAAGAGCCCAAACCAACAAGCUUGCUUGUUGGGGUUGUAGGACACUCUAUACGGAGUUACAAAGGACGACAUUAGACGAAUCAUCUGGAAAGAUGAAUCAAAGAAGGUAAUAAUCCUGUAGUCGAAAAUGUUGUCUCUCUUGAGUGGAUCCUGAGUACGACGGAGCACGUGAAAUUCCGUCGGAAUCUGGGAGGACCAUCUCCUAAGGCUAAAUACUCUCUAGUGACCGAUAGUGAACCAGUACCGUGAGGGAAAGGUGAAAAGCACCCCGGAAGGGGAGUGAAAUAGAACCUGAAACCGUGUGCUUACAAGUAGUCAGAGCCCGUUAAUGGGUGAUGGCGUGCCUUUUGUAGAAUGAACCGGCGAGUUACGAUUUGAUGCAAGGUUAAGCAGUAAAUGUGGAGCCGUAGCGAAAGCGAGUCUGAAUAGGGCGUUUAGUAUUUGGU
rnacentral:rRNA from 1 species